GAUCCCUUAGCUCAGCGGUAGAGCGUCUGAUUCCAGUUCGGACUUCCAGAAGGUCAUCCGUUCAAUCCGGGUAGGGGUCA